rnacentral:rRNA from 1 species
AUACGUAGGGAGCGAGCGUUGUCCGGAAUUACUGGGUGUAAAGGGAGCGUAGGCGGGAUGGCAAGUCAGAUGUGAAAACUAUGGGCUCAACCCAUAGACUGCAUUUGAAACUGUUGUUCUUGAGUGAAGUAGAGGUAAGCGGAAUUCCUGGUGUAGCGGUGAAGUGCGUAGAUAUCAGGAGGAACAUCGGUGGCGAAGGCGGCUUACUGGGCUUUUACUGACGCUGAGGCUCGAAAGCGUGGGGAGCAAACAGGAUUAGAUACCCUGGUAGUCCACGCUGUAAACGAUGAUUACUAGGUGUGGGGGGACUGACCCCUUCCGUGCCGCAGUUAACACAAUAAGUAUUCCACCUGGGGAGUACGAUCGCAAGAUUGAAACUCAAAUGAAUUGACGGGG